UACGUAGGCAGCAAGCGUUGUUCGGAAUUACUGGCGUAAAGAGUGUGUAGGCGGUGUUCCAAGUCUGGUGUGAAAUCUCCCGGCUUAACUGGGAGGGUGCAUUAGAAACUGGAAUGCUAGAGGAUGGGAGAGGUAAGCGGAAUUCCCGGUGUAGCGGUGAAAUGCGCAGAUAUCGGGAGGAACACCAGUAGCGAAGGCGGCACUCUGGGCCGGUACUGACGCUGAGGAGCG
rnacentral:rRNA from 1 species